CCCCACAUCCGCCUCUUAAUCUUCUAUACUUCCUUCCCACUCUGUAAAACCCUAGCCGUCUCACACUCAAACUUUCUCUGAAUCCGACCUGACCAUGGAACCUUUUCAUGAUUUACUUGCCUUAUUCAUGUUAUCUCGUCAUUACCCACACGUUCAUGGCAUUAAUUAGUACUUGCCCAAUUUUGAAAAGUACUAUCUUUCAAAAUCGGGCAUAACCAACUUAAAUCUUUGGAAUUUAGAUGAUAUUUCAUCUAUAUACAUGUGAUGAGAAUUCACUCUUGUACUCAUAGGUCGAUUUACAAUCUUGGAGCCCUAACUAGGGUUUGAAAGUUGAUUUCAUUCCUUUGCGUGUUGUUUCACUGAUUGCAUGUGAUUUUUUUUUUCCUUGUUUGUGUUUGAUUUGAUUUCUUUCCUUGUUUAUUCGCCUAAUAAUAUACUAUAUAAACCCCUUUCCAAUUCACCUUGAGAUAGACUUUAGUCAUCAUAUCUCUCACUCACAUUGGUUCUAUUUUGUUUUGAUUCUCUAAAUAAUACUGUUGUUUGAUUGUGUUCUUGGCCGGCUGAAAGACAAGGCCACUUUGGUAUCAUUCAAAGCUUCCUCCGAUACAAGCACUGCUCGAAGCCCUUUGAGGCUUCUGCGAACUCUGAAGCACGGGAGACCUUGGGGUUCUCACUGCUCUCCUUUACUCGCUGCUACUGAACUACUGCUGAAACUCUGAUUUCCUCAUUUUUUUCUCAUUUCUCUUUGCAACUGGUCCUGAGGAUGGUAUUGCGGUACUCUUUGAUCUGAGUAGGAGUGUGUUGUUGAAGACUUCGUGGUGAGCUACAAUAAUAUUUCGAUCCACAACACAUGAAGUCCCCGUCCUUAUUUAUCUUCUAUCUGUUUUCUUUGUCACAAGCAAUUGUGAUUAUGUAUUCUGACAUGUACCAUUCAGCAGUUGCUCGUGUACUUGUGUCACUUAGUUCUUGGAGUUGUAUUGUUUCGGUCGUAGUUAGACUAUGUAAUACUUGUAUCAAUUUUUUUACCACCUUGACAUUAUUCCUGCUUUUAUUAUGAUAUAACUAUGUUAAAUAAAGAAAAUUAGACUA